UAAAUAAUAAAAAAACACAAAUACACAUAUAAAUAUAUGCAUAUAGAUAAAGAGAUAGCAGAUGAGAAAUGAAGAAUGAACCUUUCAACUGGAACUUGAAUUUCAAGUUGCUCACCACCACUAGCAGCCUGAACAGUGCUGAAUCCUCGAGCAACAAGUGAGGGUGAACCUCCAGCAUCAGCCUAACAAUACACGAUCAGUUCAAUUAGGUCUUAGAGCACAGGAAUACAAGACAUGAUUCUAUUGUGAGCAUCCACCAUGCCUAAUAUUCAAUUAAGCAAAGCUUACCACCUAAGAAAACUGUCAUAACAAUUCGGACCCGGAGCAAUCAAGAAUUCAGAAUCCCCCGCGAAUUCAAUAACUACAGUGCAAGAAGCAAUUGAAUUAAGUCGGACUACAAGAAUCAAUCAACUGCAACACCCCGUUCUCCGAAGAAGAGAACUAGAACUUACUAAGUAUGCAUAACUUACAAAAUUGCUCGAGAAUUUAAAAAUUCGAACCCAGAGUAGAGAAGUGCAGAGUUCAGGACUUACUGGAGUUGGAGAGAACUGUCGUUACCGGAGCAAUUUAGAACCCUAGAAAGAUAAAGUUGUGCCCAAUUUGUGCAUAUUAUCUGAGAGAGAGAGGGUCGCUGCCAUUAAAAUCGGAGUAUUUCAGUGCGAGGGAGGUGACUACCGGUGGAAGCGGUGGAGGUGGCGACAAACGACCUAGGGUUCUGAAUUUGGGGAAAAAAGAGAGGAGCUCGAGAUAGGUCGUGAGGGGAAAGUUGGCUUUCCUGAGAGGCUUCGAUGACAGGCCACCUGCGACAACCUAGGGUUCGAUCCGGGUCGCCGAAGCGUGCGCCGCGCUGGAGUUGGUGAAGGAGGCGUCGAUCCGGGUCGCCGAAGUGUGCGCCGCGCUGGAGCAUCGGCAUGGUUCGAAGUCGGGACUUGGUGGAGAAUCGGGGCGAACAGAGUUGGUAUAUGGCAGAGGGGUCGAUUUGGGGAAGAAGAAGGCGGAUGGGGGGAGGAGAGGCGAAGAAGAAGGCGGAUGGAGAAGAAGGCGGAUGGAGAAGAAGAAUUGCAGAAGCCCU
rnacentral:lncRNA from 1 species